UUUGAUCCUCAUUUAGAAGUAUAUUAGAAAGCAGGUGAGAAGCCUCUAUAGAAUAAAUUUCCACAGACUAACUGUAGUCACAGAAAAGACCCUCUUCCUGGUCCUUUCACAAUAUUAAUAAGUUACUCAACUGGGAGAGUUGAGCUUUCAAUGGCUUUGGAGAACUGUGCUGAAAGCUUUAGAUUGCUACAGUGACAUUGUUGAUAAAAGAAAAUGGCAAGGUAUUAUACAUCCUGGAACAUUGUGUAAAGCUAGAAGAGGAAUCCUUAAAGCAUUCUAAGGCUUCAGCCCAAAACCACAAUAAGGAAAAGAAGCAAAUGUACUUUAAGGAAAUAAUAAAAGAUAAGUAUAUCCA